AUGAUCCAGUGCAUUAAUAUUUUCACAAAGAAGAUUCAGUCUUCUAUUUUCUCAUGGAUUGAACCUUUCUUUGCGUUAUUUAUUUAUUUAUGUAUGUAUGUACAUAAACUUUCAUCUUUUGUUAUGCGGUCUAUUAUUUUUUAUUUAUCUGUUUACGACAGGGUCUUUUCCUUUAACUAUUUGUCCAGAUGCUUCCUUUGUAUGGAUCUCAUCUCCAAUGAUUUAUGUCAAUUGACUCCAGAAGCGGGAAUGUUGCUGAUCAAAGUCACUCUCAAAGCAAGAACAGAAGCAGGCUCUUCCUAA
rnacentral:rRNA from 1 species